rnacentral:rRNA from 1 species
UACAGAGGGUGCGAGCGUUGUUCGGAAUUACUGGGCGUAAAGCGUGCGUAGGUGGUUCGUUAAGUCUGAUGUGAAAGCCCUGGGCUCAACCUGGGAAUGGCAUUGGAAACUGGCGACCUAGAGUGCGGUAGAGGGUAGUGGAAUUCCCGGUGUAGCAGUGAAAUGCGUAGAGAUCCGGAAGAACACCGGUGGCGAAGGCGGCCUGCUGGGCAGUAGCUGACGCUGAAGCGCGACAGCGUGGGGAGCAAACAGG